rnacentral:rRNA from 1 species
GACGAACGCUGGCGGCGUGCCUAAUACAUGCAAGUCGAGCGAACCAAUGGGAGCUUGCUCCCUGAGGUUAGCGGCGGACGGGUGAGUAACACGUGUGUAACCUGCCUGUAAGAUUGGGAUAACUCCGGGAAACCGGAGCUAAUACCGGAUAAUAUUUUGAACCGCAUGGUUCAAAAUUGAAAGACGGCUUCGGCUUUUACUUACUGAUGGACCCGCGGCGCAUUAGCUUGUUGGUGAGGUAACGGCUCACCAAGGCGACGAUGCGUAGCCGACCUGAGAGGGUGAUCGGCCACACUGGAACUGAGACACGGCCCAGACUCCUACGGGAGGCAGCAGUAGGGAAUCUUCCGCAAUGGACGAAAGUCUGACGGAGCAACGCCGCGUGAACGAUGAAGGCCUUCGGGUCGUAAAGUUCUGUUGUUAGGGAAGAACAAGUACCAGAGUAACUGCUGGUACCUUGACGGUACCUAACCAGAAAGCCACGGCUAACUACGUG